UACGUAGGGUGCGAGCGUUGUCCGGAAUUAUUGGGCGUAAAGGGCUCGUAGGCGGUUUGUCGCGUCGGGAGUGAAAACGCACAGCUUAACUGUGUGCUUGCUUCCGAUACGGGCAGACUAGAGGUAUGCAGGGGAGAACGGAAUUCCUGGUGUAGCGGUGAAAUGCGCAGAUAUCAGGAGGAACACCGGUGGCGAAGGCGGUUCUCUGGGACGGUACUGACGCUGAGACGCGAAAGCGUGGGGAGCGAACAGG
rnacentral:rRNA from 1 species